rnacentral:lncRNA from 1 species
AGGGCAUCUCAGAAAGACAAGAAGCCCAAGAGGUCAACCUGGAAGUUUAAUUUGGACCUUACUCAUCCAGCAGAAGAUGGAAUUUUUGAUUCUGGAAAUUUUGAACAAUUUCUACGGGAGAAGGCUGGAUAUCUCGGGAAUGUUGUUCACAUUGAACGCUUCAAGAAUAAAAUCACAGUUCUUUCUGAGAAACAGUUCUCUAAAAGGUAUUUGAAAUACCUUACCAAGAAAUACCUUAAGAAGAGCAGUCUUCAUGAUUGGCUUCGAGUGGUUGCAUCUGACAGGAGACUUACAAACUUUGUUACUUCCAGAUUAGUCAAGAAGAUGAAGCAGAGUCGGAGGACUAG